UCUCCAGCGAUAUAGAACAGUAAAACAAAGUACAGGUGAUUCUCCCGCGAUAUAGAACAGUAAAACAAAGUACAGGUGAUUCGCUCAUGUUAUGCCUGUAGCCCCCUCCUUGGUAAGAAUCGCAAGAUCACUAUUGAUUUGAGUCAGGAGUCCCAGGAAAUGAGAGAGAGAGAGACAUGCGGAAUGUUUCGUUCCCUGGCGAUAUAAAGCUAUGGAACACGGCCAUUGUCUCUUGAAGACGAACUUGUGUAUUACAAUACUGUGCCACGUGGAAGCCCUCAGGCAAAGUGGGCUGGAUGAGGGAGGGAUUGCAUCACCCCCAACCUGAUUGACAUCUGCGAGCCCGUGAGUCAGGACAAAAGAAGGUCUGUGGGAGCAGCCCCUCAGACGCACCAGAAGAAACGCUAGCGAUCCCAUAAUAGCAGAAGCCGGUGGAAAGGCCACGUGCUUUCGGUUCCAUUUUGCCCCGGAAACUGGUACCCUUAACACGGAGAAACGGCUUUUAGCUGACAAUGGGGAAACAAACUCCUAAAAGACUCGAAGGAUUGGAAUCAUCAAAGAACUGGGGAAGAUUAACCGUCUCUCCUCAAACCCAAAACUCUGCAGCUUGAAUGAACUAACAGUGACUUUUACAUUUCCAUCGGACAAUAAAUUAUCCCCUAGACAACGAUAGAGCUAUUUCUUAAUGAUUAUUAUUAUACCCGUGCUUUUAGAUUUAGUAUUGACGACAUAUAUUAUCUGUAUGUUUGCAUUGAUCUUAUUUUUGUGCCCCUUUAUCAAUGAAUACUGUUAAAAAUAGUACCAUAAGACUUCAAUGGACCUCUCUAUCUUUGCUGGUAAGUGACCCAGUUACGGGGUUCGUAAAACUCACGACAUAGAACAGUAAAACAAAGUACAGGUGAUACUCCCACGAUAUAGAACAGUAAAACAAAGUACAGGUGAUUCGCACACGAUAUAGAACAGUAAUACAAAGUACAGGUGAUUCACUCACAAUAUAGAACAGUUAAACAAAGUACAGGUGAUUCGGCCCAUGAUAAAGAACAGUAAAACAAAGUACAGGUGAUUCGGCGCAUGAGAUAGAACAGUAAAACAAAGUACAUGUGAUUCUCCCACGAUAUAGAACAGUAAAACAAAGGACAGGUGAUUCGGCCCAUGAUAUAGAACAGUAAAACAAAGUACAGGUGAUUCACCCGCGAUAUAGAACAGUAAAACAAAGUACAGGUGAUUCGGCCCAUGAUAUACAACAGUAAAACAAAGUACAGGUGAUUCUCACACGAUAUAGAACAGUAAAACAAAGUACAGGUGAUUCACCACCAUAUAGAACAGUAAAACAAAGUACAGGUGAUUCGGCCCAUGAUAAAGAACAGUAAAACAAAGGACAGGUGAUUCGGCCAUUGAUAUCGAACAGUAAAACAAAGUACAGGUGAUUCUCUCACAAUAUAGAACAGUAAAACAAAGUACAGGUAAUUCAGCCCAUGUUAUAGAACAGUAAAACAAACUAUAGGUGAUUCGGCCCACGGUGUAGAACAGUAAAACAAAUUACAGGUGAUUCGAACACUAUAUAGAACAAUAAAAUAAUGGACAGGUGAUUUGGCCCAUGAUAUAUGAUUCGGCCCACGAUACAGAACACUAAAACAAAGUACAGGUGAUUCGCAAUGAUAUAGAACAGUUAAACAAAGUACAGGUGAUUUGGCGCAUGACAUAGAACAGUAAAAUAAAGUACAGGUGAUUCGGCCCACGAUAUAGAACAGUAAAACAAAGUACAGGUGAUUCUCCCACGAUAUAAAACAGUAAAACAAAGUACAGGUGAUUCUCCCACGAUAUAGAACAGUAAAACAAAGUACAGGUGAUUCUCCCAUGAUAUAGAACAGUAAAACAAAGUACAGGUGAUUUGGCCCAUGAUAUAGAACAGUAAAACAAAAUACAGGUGAUUCUCCCACGAUAUAGAACAGUUAAACAAAGUACAGGUGAUUCGCACACGAUAUAGAACAGUUAAACAAAGUACAGGUGAUUCUCCCACGAUAUAAAACAGUAAAACAAAGUACAGGUGAUUCGCACACGAUAUAGAACAGUUAAACAAAGUACAGGUGAUUCUCCCACGAUAUAAAACAGUAAAACAAAGUACAGGUGAUUCUCCCACGAUAUAGAACAGUAAUACAAAGUACAGGUGAUUCGCUCACGAUAUAGAACAUUUAAACAAAGUACAGGUGAUUCGGACCAUGAUAAAGAACAGUAAAACAAAGUACAUGUGAUUCUCCCGCGAUAUAGAACAGUAAAACAAAGUACAGGUGAUUCGCCCAUGAUAUAGAACAGUAAAACAAAGCACAGGUGAUUCAGCCCACGAUAUAGAACAGUAAAAGAAAUUACAGGUGAUUCACCCAUGAGAUAGAACAGUAAAACAAAGUAAAGUGAUUCUCGCAAGAGGUAGAACAGUAAAACUAAGUAUAGGUGAUUCUCCCACGAUAUAGAACAGUAAAACAAAGGACAGGUGAUUCGGCCCAUGAUAUAGAACAGUAAAACAAAGUACAGGUGAUUCAGCCCACGAUAUACAACAGUAAAACAAAGUACAGGUGAUUCGGCCCAUGAUAAAGAACAGUAAAACAAAGUACAGGUGAUUCGGCCAUUGAUAUCGAACAGUAAAACAAAGUACAGGUGAUUCGAACACUAUAUAGAACAAUAAAAUAAUGGACAGGUGAUUUGGCCCAUGAUAUAUGAUUCGGCCCACGAUACAGAACAGUAAAACAAAGUACAGGUGAUUCGUCACGAUAUAGAACAGUUAAACAAAGUACAGGUGAUUUGGCCCAUGAUAUAGAACAGUAAAAUAAAGUACAGGUGAUGCGGCCACGAUACAGAACAGUAAAAUAAAGUACAGGUGAUUCUCCCAUGAAAUACAACAGUAAAGCAAAGUACAGGUGAUUCGCUCACGAUAUAGAACAGUAAAACAAAGUACAGGUGAUUCGGCCCACGAUAUAGAACUGUAAAACAAAGUACAGGUGAUUCUCCCACGAUAUAAAACAGUAAAACAAAGUACAGGUGAUUCGGCCCAUGAUAUAGAAAAGUAAAAUAAAGUACAGGUGAUUUACCCACGAGAAAGAACAGUAAAACAAAGUACAGGUGAUUCGGCCCACGGUGUAGAACAGUAAAACAAAGUGCAGGUGAUUCGUCCCUUGAUAUAGAGCAGUAAAACAAAGUACAUGUGAUUCACCCGCGAUAUAGAACUGUAAAGCAAAGUACAGGUGAUUCGGCCCAUGAUAUAGACCAGUAAAACAAAGUGCAGGUGAUUCACCCGCGAUAUAGAACAGUAAAACAAAGUACAGGUGAUUCGGACCGCGAUACAGAACUAUAAAACAAAGUACAGGUGAUACACUCAUGAUAUAGAACAGUAAAACAAUGUACUGGUGAUUCACCCGCGAUAUAGAACAGUAUAUCGUGCAACAAUGAAACCCAAUAGAGCCCAUUAACAAAAAGACCGACAAACACUCAGUGUGUGGAGGGGAUAAAAAGAUCGUGCAAACAGGUUAUGUUAGCAGAUAAGACUUAGAACUGAAGUUCACAAAACUGAGUGCGCAGCCAAAAAGCCGGUCAUCACUGCAACUGACUCAGGAGCCAGUCAGUUGCAGGCCACGGCCUCAGAUCUGCCCAGGGUCGAGUAAACCUCCGGACAACAAGCUGAACGGGCCUGUCCCUCACCUCCGACCCCGACACCCUGACCUCUCCGAUCCGGCCUGGCACUUAAAUCGUAUCUAUUGAGCGUUCUGCUGCCACCUUCGAGGAGUUGUGUCUCAGAACGGCAGCAUCCAUUAUUAAGGACCUCCAGCUCCCAGGACAUGCCCUCUUCUCACUGUUACCAUCAGGUUGGAGGUGCAGAAGCCUGAAGGCACACACUCAGCAAUUCUAGAACUUCCCCUCUGCCAUCCGAUUCCUAAGUGGACAUUGAACCCGUGAACACUACCUCAUUUUUUUAAUAUAUAUUAUUUUGGUUUUUAUUGAAUGAUUUUUGAUCUAUUCAGUAUAUGUACGCUGUAGUUGACUUAUUUAUUUAUUGUUGUUAUUAUUAUUAUUAUCAUUAUUAUUAUUAUUUCCUCUUCUUCUAUAUUAUGUGUUGCAUUGAACUGCUGCUGCUAAGUUAACAAAUUUCACAACGCAUGCCGGUGAUAAUAAACCUGAUUCUGACUUAAACCGCCUGAACCUUGGGUUCCUCCCCGUUCUCGGGCUCAGGCCUGUACUCAUCCUUUCCAAUUCAGCCUGGCACUUAAAUCGAUCGAACCUUGGGUGUUUCCUUGCUCUCAGGUCCUCUAUGGUAUUUGCUGGUCUUUUUUCCAGCACCUUUCUGUACAUGUGUGAACAUAUACAUCUAUAGAAUGGGAUAUGGGAUUAGCAGAGGCUUGGUGUAGGAGAGUGGUUGAAGGCCGUUGCAGACCCUGUGGGCCGAAGGCCCUGUUUAUGCUGGUGUGACCCCAUGCGUUUUAUUUCUACCUGGACGCCACAGCGCCUCCUCUGCAUGGAAGGUGUACCUGACCUGAUCAAAUUCACUGUUCUGCAGUUACCUGGGGUCACAAUGAAGUCAAGAAUAAACUGUGACUAAUGUUUGCCCUUGCCUCGUCCCCAGAGAUGAUGCUAACCGUUUUCAGAGCACGUCAGAUGUGGCAGCAAUCCAGGUAGCAGGCAGAUGAGCCCAGAAUCAGAAUCUGAAUCAGG